GACGGACCGGGCUCCAACGAAAAUACACACAGGGGAAAUAUAUCAGUCUACUAGCCUAGUGCAAAAACCUGGAAGAGAGAGUGCACCACAGAGACUGCAGGUUAGGGUGAAGAAGAAC
rnacentral:lncRNA from 8 species